CUAUUUUGGCAUAGUAUUUAUUCCCAAGAUAUCACUUGAACAUAACCAAACACAGAACUCUUUAGAUCUAACCACUUUGCUUCACUCCAUCAAUACAUCGAUAAGGUGAGUCUGAUUUACAAAGAAAUACUGACGGUAAUUAUCUGUAGAGCGCUGUCCGGGCUAUUGCCACAGAUUUCUUUCAUUUUUUUUGUGUCAUAAAAUUUUAGAUCUUCCAAGUAUCAAUAUGUACACAUCCUUAUUUUAAAUAGUUUUAAAUGUAAUGUCAGCCAGUUGCAAGUUUGUCAACUCCAAUAUUUGAAACUAGUAAUUCAAAUGUAAUAUAUAUCAAUCAAUUAAUCUUGAUAUAAAUGUAAAUUUUUUUUACUUGCUAAUGAAGUUUACUAAUUUGUUUAAUUAGAAUCAGCUGGAAAACUGGAUUGAUUGAAUUUCUGAGCACAUUAAGUUUGGCUGCAAUUUAACAUCAUUACACUCUUGUUUCGAUUCGCUUAAUGCUAAUGUUGUAAUGCUAAUGUUGUAAUGCUAAUGUUGUAAUGCUAA